rnacentral:rRNA from 1 species
UACGAAGGGGGCUAGCGUUGUUCGGAAUCACUGGGCGUAAAGGGCGCGUAGGCGGCGCGACAAGUCAGGCGUGAAAGCCCCGGGCUCAACCCGGGAAUUGCGCUUGAUACUGUCGUGCUUGAGGCCGGGAGAGGAUGGCGGAAUUCCCAGUGUAGAGGUGAAAUUCGUAGAUAUUCGCAAGAACACCAGUGGCGAAGGCGGCUCACUGGCCCGAUACUGACGCUGAGGCACGAAAGCGUGGGGAGCAAACAGG